AACUAUUUGUAAUUGUAUGCUUGCCUGCGAAUAUUCUUAUUACUGUAAUUCUGCCAUAAUUAUGUGUAUAUAUCCUUGUAUUUAUUUGAUUGAUACUUUCCUUGCCUUGUACUUAUCUUGUCUAUAAUUAUAAUGUAAUUCUGAAGUUUAAAAAUAAAAAAUAUCGACAUUCAAUAAAAAAUCAACAUGGUAUAAGAGCCCUAAUUUCUCUUUCAGAAAUUUAUCGUCACUGUCAGUUCUUUGUGAUUGGCUUCACCUUCAGAUCUCGCACGACCAUCUCUGUUCUAGCUUUCCGACGACCACCUUAGUUCAUAUCUUUGACUGUCCGCCUCACCUUCAGAUCUUCAACGACCAUCUUUGUUUCAAUCGAUAGGUUUUGUCCCAAAAUUCUAGAUUAGUUCGCGCGAUUCCAGAUCUCGCACGCGUCCGACAAAUUCUAUUGCUCACGCCAGCCACCGAUCCUCGCCUUCUUACUUGUUGGCUGAUAAAUUUCUCGUCAUUCUUCUUUCUGUGUGCUCCAGAUCUGUCUAGAUUCGAAGCUCACGAUUUGUCUCCGAAAGAAACACUAAGGUUUCAAUUCAGUUCGCCACCGUAAAACUAGAUCUGUUAGCCGCCGCAAAACCUCUUUUCGUUUCAGAUCGUGGUUCCAUUAUAGUUCAUAAUCCGCCACUCUAAUUCUAGAUCUGACUCUUUUUCUCAGUUCCAAAUAACGUCGCUCGCCUUGCUGAAGAUCCAUAAUCCUUCUACUGACCUAUUCCCUACUUCUGACUCACCACUCAACACUACACCUUGUUCUCUACCCAUACCUGAGCUCACUCAAUCAGAUCAUAUCUUUGCGCUCCCGAAUCUCUCAUCUGCAUCUUGUGAGGAACCUGAAUCCGCACCGGUCUGACGGUCUACCCGAGUAAGAGAAUCUCCUCCUCAUCUUAAAGAUAUUAUUGUUUUUCCACUAUCAUGUCUUUGGUUGAACCAUCCUCGUAUAAGGAGACCAAUACUAACCCAUUGUGGCAACAAGCAAUGAAACUCCAAGCCUUAGAAAAGACUUAUACUUGGGACUAUGUUGACUUACCUCCUGACAAGAAACCUAUCGGCUGCUAGUCGAUUUUUAAAAUCAAAUCACACUCUGAUGGCUCUAUUGAGAGAUACAAAGCACAACUUGUGGCGAAAGGUUAUCCUCACGAAUAUGACAUUGAUUAUAAAGAAACCUUCUGUAGCCUGAAUGACGUUUGUUCGCAGUCUUUUGGCCAUUGCAUUUGCGAAAAUAAUGGCCCAUCCUUCAAAUAGAUAUAAAAAAUGUGUUCCUCAGUGGAACACUAUUUGAAGAAAUCUAUAUGAAACCACCACCUGGUACUACUCUGCCACCUCAGAAAGUGUGUCUUCUUAGUCGGGCUCUCUAUGGCCUCAAACAGGCUCCUCGAGCUUGGUUUGUAACAUUCGGUUCCACUAUUACCCAACUUGGGUUCACCUUCAACCCUCAUGAUUCGGCCUUAUUUACUAGUCAGACAUCUAGUGGUCUUGUUCUUCUUCUCUUAUGUGUUGAUAACAUGAUUAUUACAGGUGAUGACCCUCAAGCCAUAUCUGAAUUACAAUAUUAUCUAGGUAAGCACUUUGAGAUGAAGGACUUAGGAACCCUCAACUAUUUUCUUGGUCUUGAGAUUUCAUCCUCAGCUAAUGGCUACUACUUAUCUCAAGCCAAAUACGCCUCUAAUCUCCUCAGUCGAUCUGGUAUUACUGAUUCUACCACAUCAUCAAUGCCACUAGAUCCAAACGUAUGACUCACUCCUUUUGAUGGUGUACCUCUUGAUGAUCCCACUUUGUAUCGACAACUUGUUGGCAGCCUAAUUUACUUAAUUGUGACUCGUUCAGAUAUUGCAUAUGUCGUUCACAUUGUUAGUCAAUUCAUGGAUGCUCUUCGCACUAUUCACUUCACUGUUGUUCUUCGUAUUCUCCGCUAUAUUAAAGGCACUUUGGGUCAUGAUCUACAAUUCUCCUCAAAGUCCUCUUUGGUUCUCUCUAGAUUCUCUGAUGCUGAUUAGGCAAGUGGUCCUACUGAUAGAAGAUCCACCAUUGGUUAUUACUUCUAUUUAAGUGAUGCUCUUAUCUCCUAGCGCAACAAGAAACAGUCUGUUGUCUCUCGUUCCAGCACAGAAUCUGAAUAUCGUGCUCUAGCUGAUGCCACGUGUGAAUUAUUAUGGCUUCGUUGGCUUCUUAUUGACACAAGAGCCCCAUAAACAUCACCCAUUAUUCUUCAUUGUGAUAACCGCAAUGCCAUUCAGAUUGCACACAAUGAUGUCUUCCAUGAACGAACAAAUUAUAUUGAGAACGAUUGUCACUUUGUUCGCCAUCAUCUUCAGAGCAACACUCUCCAUCUCGACCAAUGAUCAACCUGCAGAUAUUUUCACCAAAGCUCUCCAUUCUCCUUGUUUCACCCAGUUACUUCACAAACUCAAGGUGGUGUCGACUCUACCAUCUUGAGUUUGAGAGAGGGUAUUGCCGUAAUUAUAUCAUAAUUAUGUGUAUAUAUCCUUAUAUUUAUUUGAUUUAUACUUUCCUUGUGUUGUACUUAUCUUGUCUAUAAUUAUACAUGUAAUUUUGAAGUUUAAGAAUAAGAAAUACCAAUAUUCAAUAAAAAUCAAUAAUCCUAAUGUUGUGUAAA